CAACACGUAACGAUUCGAACUGUCAUUUCAGUCGUGAUCGAUGUAGAUGCCGAAAUGGUAUCUUAACCUCACAUAUUUAUUGUUUUCUUGAUCGGUCUGGCGAUUAAGGAUAGUUUUAAUAAAACUAUUAAAAUGUCCUUUAAAAUUAGAGAGGACCAUUUGAUUGCGUUUGCAAAUUUUUUCGAAGAAUAUCCGGAUUUUGCCAGAGGGCGAUUGUCUUGCUCCAAUGCCCGCCAGGAAUUUAAAAAACUAUGGCAAGAACUGGCAAAUAUCUUAAAUUCAUUAGGGUAUGGAACAAGGACAACUGAAAAGUGGCAAAGGACAUGGUCAGAUUAUAAACUCAACUUAAAAAAGAGGGCUUCAGAAUUAAAGAAACAGCAGACUCAAACAGGAGGAGGGCCUCUUUUAACAAAUAAAGGUAUAUCUGACACUGAUAACCGAUUAUUAAAUAUUCUUGGAAAGACAUUUUUUGAAGGCUGUGGAACACAGGAAAAAGGUUUUGAAUCAUAUCACGAAAAAUUGGUUAUUCCAAAGAAGAAAACAUGUUCUGCUACAUCUACAAUUACUUCUGGAACAUUAUCAGUUAGCCCUGUACAGCAAAUAGUGUCCCAAAUUGAUUUAGAAAAUAUGCCAGAUUCAAAUUUAUUAGUUUCCUCACCCUCAACACAAAGAAAUGAAAGUCUUCAACAAGAGAAAAGAAAAGGUCCAGAUGAUGACCAUGAUUAUUUUGCCCAUAUAAAGCUACAAGAGAGAAACCCAAAUAAAAAGAAAAA
rnacentral:lncRNA from 1 species